AUUGCACGAUGGCGGCAGGACUAACACAUGCAAGUCGAGCGAGCGGCGGACGGGUGAGGAAUGUAUGGGGACUGCCCGAUAGAGGGGGAUAACUACUGGAAACGGUAGCUAAUACAGCAUCCGAUCGGAUAUCCCAUAUGGGAUGAGCUGGUAGGGGGGGUAAUGGCUCCCCUAGGCGACGAUCCCUAGCUGGUCUGAGAGGAUGAACAGCCACACUGGGACUGUGACACGGUCCAGACUCCUACGGAGGCAGCAGUGGGGAAUAUUGCACACUGGGCGCAAGCCUGAUGCAGCCAUGCCGCUUGUAUGAAGAAGGCCCUAGGGUUGUAAAGGACUUUCAGCCGGGAGGCGUUACCGACAGAAGAAUCACCGGCUAACUCCGUGCCAGCAGCCGCGGUAAUAC
rnacentral:rRNA from 1 species